rnacentral:rRNA from 1 species
AACGAACGCUGGCGGCAUGCCUAACACAUGCAAGUCGAACGAGACCUUCGGGUCUAGUGGCGCACGGGUGCGUAACGCGUGGGAACCUGCCCUUAGGUUCGGAAUAACUCCCCGAAAGGGGUGCUAAUACCGGAUAAUGUCUUCGGACCAAAGAUUUAUCGCCUUUGGAUGGGCCCGCGUUGGAUUAGCUAGUUGGUAGGGUAAAAGCCUACCAAGGCGACGAUCCAUAGCUGGUCUGAGAGGAUGAUCAGCCACACUGGGACUGAGACACGGCCCAGACUCCUACGGGAGGCAGCAGUGGGGAAUAUUGGACAAUGGGCGAAAGCCUGAUCCAGCAAUGCCGCGUGAGUGAUGACGGCCUUAGGGUUGUAAAGCUCUUUUACCCGGGAUGAUAAUGACAGUACCGGGAGAAUAAGCUCCGGCUAACUCCGUG